AGAGUUUGAUCCUGGCUCAGAACGAACGCUGGCGGCGUACUUAACACAUGCAAGUCGUACGAGAAAUUCCACUUCGGUGGGAGAGUAAAGUGGCGAACGGGUGAGUAAUACAAGGGUAAUCUGCCCUUAAAUUAGGGAUAACCUUGCGAAAGCGAAGCUAAUACCUGAUGAGACUACGACCCCUUAGGUGGUUGUAGGAAAAGAUGGCCUCUGUUUCAAGCUAUCGUUUAAGGAUGAGCCCUUGCACUAUUAGCUUGUUGGUGGGGUAACGGCCUACCAAGGCGACGAUGGUUAGCUGGUCUGAGAGGAUGACCAGCCACACUGGAACUGAGACACGGUCCAGACUCCUACGGGAGGCAGCAGUGAGGAAUAUUGCGCAAUGGGGGAAACUCUGACGCAGUGACGCCGCGUGAGUGAUGAAGGCUUUCGAGUCGUAAAGCUCUGUUAGGUGGAAAGAAACAUUCCAACGCUAAUAUCGUUGGAACUUGACGGUACCACCAGAGGAAGCACCGGCUAACUCCGUGCCAGCAGCCGCGGUAAUACGGAGGGUGCAAGCGUUGUUCGGAAUACUGGGCGUAAAGGGCGUGUAGGCGGUUAGGCAAGUCAGGUGUGAAAUCCCUUGGCUCAACCAAGGAAGUGCGCUUGAAACUGCUUAACUAGAGUACAGGAGGGGAAAGUGGAAUUCCCAGUGUAGAGGUGAAAUUCAUAGAUAUAGGGAGGAACACCGGUAGCGAAGCGGCUUUCUGGCCUGAUACUGACGCUGAGACGCGAAAGCGUGGGAGCAAACAGAUUAGAUACCCUGUAGUCCACGCCGUAACGAUGUGCACUAGUGUAGAAGUGUUGACCCUUUCUGUGGCGAGCUUACGCAUAUGCACCGCCUGGGAGUACGUUCGCAAGCUAACUCAAGAAUUGACGGGCGCCAAGCGGUGGAACAGUGUAUCAGCCUACCGAACUACUGGCCUGACGCUGAUACCUGGAACACAGGAUGUCUCGGUACACCA
rnacentral:rRNA from 1 species